rnacentral:lncRNA from 1 species
UGCGUGUUAUUUUAAGCCGUUAACGUUCAUGGGGACUUGUUAAGGCGGCCCUGGGAGACGGAUACACCAGACCCCACAGUGUCCAGACCCCACAGCAGUUCUCUGGGAGCCGCCCCUCUGGGUAGUUUCCUCCCACAGGGGGUCUGUGUUGCCUGGGGCUUACCAGUGGGCAAUGACACAUGAGAUUCGCCGUCAGCUCCAGACCCAAGCCUCGGGAGGGCUGGCUUGCACUUUUGGGAGUCCCAGGAUGCAAUAGUUCAAGCUCUGGGGUCGUGUCAGAGAAGGCUGUGCGGAGAGGAGAGGCCGGAAGAGCUUAGAGGGGAGGGAGGCCCAGUCUUCUUCGGGGGUCUCCGUUUAGCCUCCAGGUGACCCCAGCCCCUUCGGCAGCCACCACGUGAGAGAGCCCCCAGGCAAGAUCAGCUAUGGCACAGCCCAGCCAGCCCGGUCCACCCACAGAAAUGGAGGGAUAAUAACACGGUUCUUUUAAGCCACUGUCUAAUUUUAGCUGCCAUGAGUUAAGUUGAGGCCCUUCUGUGGUGAGUGCUAGGAAGCCAUCAGCUCCUAACACUGUCCUGAAUGUCACCCCCACUUUCAAGAUGAAGAAACCGAGGCCCUGAGAGGGAAGGUAAGGAGAGUGGCUGGUAGAUGGGAGAGCUGGGUUUAAACCCAAGUCCUUCCACCUCCAGAGCCCCAGGCCCUUAGCACCUGCCAGGGCCAGCUCCCCUCAGAGCUCUCUGGAUUAUACUUGGAGGCCUAGGUAGGCCCCAGGCACUGCUUUGGCCGCCAUUGUCGGCCGCCAUGUUGGUUCAGGCAAACUCAUUGCUAACCUCCUGCCCUUUUCCUCCUCUUGCUCUCAAGUCUCAUCGGAGGAGAAGCGGGAUUACUUACAACAUGGCUCGUUUCUGGGGCUGUCCCCCAGGAGCCCCGAGACCAGGCGGCUGCAUCCGCUGGUUAUUGGACGCCUCUGUUGCCAAGCACAGUACCUGGCCCAGAGCAGGACCCCAGUGACUGCUGCAGAGUGAAGGACCGGUGAGUCUCUUUGUUUGUAAUCGAGGUUCCCCCUCCCAGCCCCCCUGGCUGAGCCACACUGGACUGGGGGACAACUUGAAAUUGCCAAAUUGACCAGCAGCAGAGCCGGCCUCUUGAGGGAGGUUACCACGUCGGAGGAAGGAGGCAAAACCCUCGUCUCAGGAUCCCAGGUGGGCUUUGCGGCACCCAUCCCACCCCCCGCAGUCCCAGUCUGGGCCUAUGCUUGGCCCAGAGCAUCCUCUGGCCUCGAGAUGCUGUGUUUCUGAUGGCUUUUUGUUGUUGUUGCUGUUUAUUUAUUUUUGAGAGAGAGACAGAGAGACAGAGUGUAAGCAGGGGAGGGGCAGAGAGAGAGAGGGAGACACAGAAUCAAAAGCAGGCCCCAGGCUCUGAGCUGUCAGCACAGAGCACGACGCGGGGCUCGAACUCAUGAACUGCAAGAUCAUGACCUGAGCCAAAGUUAGGUGCUUAACCAACUAAGCCACCCAGGCACCCCUCCUGUGGCUUCUCCAAAGCUUCAUAAAAACUAAGUUGUGGCAUAUGAAAUUGCCUAUAUUCAGUUAUUUUUGACCCGUGAAAAGUCAGUUUCAUAUGAUUCAGCUUAAGAAUCCA